GUAUGCUGAUAUAUUUAGUCACAGAUGGAGAUGUCCUCAGGGAGGCUAGGUACAGUCAGUUCUUUCCCAAAGGAAGCAGUUAGGCUAUAAUUUGUUUGGCAUAUUUUAAAGUCAAGUUAAAGAAUUUCAUUCAAAUGGUAAGGAUUAUUCAGAGUGGGAAAUGCUUUCCAUAUCUCUGCAAUGAUGAUAGAGCCAUUGUAACGGUAUUUUUUCAAUAUUUCCAUCCUGUCUUAACAAUUAUGAGCUUGAUUUUUUUAAAAAAAAAACACUGUUUUGCCUGUGGGUUUAGAUGGCCUGUGCUGUACAUUUCACCAGUUUGCAAGCCUGCUCUGGGUUUGCAUUCCGGACCUCAAGCCUUGUGUCCUACAACAGCAUAUGGUUUGCAUCAUCCCCCAAGGAAGGGACAAGCUCCAGUGACCUUUUGGGGACACUUGCCUGAUUUACACUGUACAAUUACAAGCAGCAAAACUUGAGCUUGCUCAUCAUUAACCUGCAAACUCUGCAUCAACUCCCAUGCAUGCCAUAAAACUUCUCACAAAAUAUCUUUGUUCAACUUAGGCUUGCUUCACGUAACCUGUCUUCCCUUUCAAUAUGGGAGCUUUACUAUUUCUACCCUUUUCACAGGGAGAGACAGAGAAUACUCCUGUCAAUAAUUAUAGAAAACAAUAGCAAUAAACAAAAGGAAAAAGAGAGAAAUCAACUUCAAGCUGUAAUUACACCCGUAAUACAACAGCUAAUUAAAGUUGUGCCCAAAGUGAAGCCAGGGCUCCAGCUGCUGGGAGCAGUGUGGCGUUAAGUGCUACCAGCUUUGGCCAAUUACUGGCCCUCCGAGUAGGACAGAAAAGGGGUAAUUAGAGGGGUCUGCUAAAAUGUAGCUGGUGGGGUGUGAUGGGCUUUUGCCUAUUGCAAUAACACAUAAGGUAUUGUCUUACUUCGUAAUACAAUCCACUGAUUGGUUUCUGUUUGUUUGCUUUUUGGUGGUGUGUUUGGACCGUGUGUUUCCACAACUGUAAUCUGUGAUAAAGGUGCUCUGAGGCUGCCCUGCGAUGUGAAUCAAUGUGCAGGAGCUGAGAACAACUGAAGAUCCUCUUCAGAGGUGGGAGCAAGAGAAGAUGACUGCUCUGAAUGUGUCCUGGUGUUGCUGCUCUGUGUCCUCUGGAUUUCAGCCUCAGGACAUAGACAAAGGGUGGCGGCUGGUGGCUUUAUCGUUAAUAUCUGGAAGCUACAGGAUAUCUUUGCUGUUCUCUUUAACUUUUCAUAUGUGUUUUGGCAAUGAAC